AUCAGAGUGUUUAAAGCAGGCUUUCAAGCUUGAAUGUGUUAGCAUGGAAUAAUGAAAUAUGACUUUAGUUCUUAUUUCGUUGGUUCAGGAACUUAAGUAAUGAUGAAUAGAAACGGUUGGGGGCAUUUGUAUUUGGUCGCUAGAGGUGAAAUUCUUGGAUUGACCGAAGACAAACUACUGCGAAAGCAUUUGACCCAGGACGUUUUCAUUGAUCAAGGUCUAAAGUUAAGGGAUCGAAGACGAUUAGAUACCGUCGUAGUCUUAACCACAAACUAUGCCGACUAGCGAUUGGGCCUGUUUAUUAUGACUGGCUCAGCAGCUUAGCGAAAGUAAAGUUUUUGGGUUCUGGGGGGAGUAUGGGACGCAAGGCUGAAACUUAA
rnacentral:rRNA from 1 species